rnacentral:tRNA from 1 species
GCCGCAGUGCCCAUUCUACCGCUCCUAUUCACUCGUAAUGAAUAGGUCGUCGGUUCGAUUCCGACAGGCGGCU